GGCUGAGGUUGCGGAAGGCAUGAGUACCCCCGGAGAAAAGCGGCAGGCAGGCUGCCGGAGGGAAGGGGCCUUUCGCCGAAGCUUCCGGCGCGCUGCUCUCUGCGCCGGCGGCUGGGCCGGUACAGAAGAUGUACCGGACUGUCGCCUUCUGCGGGAAGGCGGAGCGCAUCC
rnacentral:ncRNA from 1 species